ncrna:unclassified sequences L20-Deltaproteobacteria ribosomal protein leader
GCCCCAGAGCCGCGAGGAAACGGCCUCUUGCGGAUCGGGUAAUUUAACCUGAAGGAG